rnacentral:rRNA from 1 species
UACGGAGGGUGCAAGCGUUAUCCGGAUUCACUGGGUUUAAAGGGUGCGUAGGUGGGUUGGUAAGUCAGUGGUGAAAUCUCCAGGCUUAACUUGGAAACUGCCAUUGAUACUAUCAAUCUUGAAUAUCGUGGAGGUGAGCGGAAUAUGUCAUGUAGCGGUGAAAUGCUUAGAUAUGACAUAGAACACCAAUUGCGAAGGCAGCUCACUACCCGAAUAUUGACUCUGAGGCACGAAAGCGUGGGGAUCAAACAGG